AGUUAAGUUAGAAAGGGCGCACGGUGGAUGCCUUGGCACUAGGAGCCGAUGAAGGACGGGAUUAACACCGAUAUGCUUUGGGGAGCUGUAAGUAAGCUUUGAUCCAGAGAUUUCCGAAUGGGGGAACCCUCUAUCCGUAAUGGGAUAGAAUCUUUACCUGAAUACAUAGGGUACUGAAGGCAGACCCGGGGAACUGAAACAUCUAAGUACCCGGAGGAAGAGAAAGCAAACGCGAUUCCCUGAGUAGCGGCGAGCGAAACGGGAUUAGCCCAAACCAAGAGGCUUGCCUCUUGGGGUUGUAGGACACUCUAUAUGGAGUUACAAAGGAACGGGGUAGACGAAUCGAUCUGGAAAGGUCAGUCGUAGAAGGUAAAAACCCUGUAGUCGAAACUUCGUUCCCUCUUGAGUGUAUCCUGAGUACGGCGGGACACGAGAAAUCCCGUCGGAAGCAGGGAGGACCAUCUCCCAAGGCUAAAUACUCCCUAGUGACCGAUAGUGAACCAGUACCGUGAGGGAAAGGUGAAAAGCACCCCGGAAGGGGAGUGAAAUAGAUCCUGAAACCGUGUGCCUACAAGUAGUUAGAGCCCUUUUAUGGGUGAUAGCGUGCCUUUUGUAGAAUGAACCGGCGAGUUACGAUUACAUGCGAGGUUAAGUUGAAGAGACGGAGCCGCAGCGAAAGCGAGUCUGAAUAGGGCGAAAUAGUAUGUGGUUGUAGACCCGAAACCAGGUGAUCUACCCAUGUCCAGGGUGAAGUCCAGGUAACACUGGAUGGAGGCCCGAACCCACGCACGUUGAAAAGUGCGGGGAUGAGGUGUGGGUAGCGGAGAAAUUCCAAUCGAACUUGGAGAUAGCUGGUUCUCUCCGAAAUAGCUUUAGGGCUAGCCUCAAGAUUGAGAGUAUUGGAGGUAGAGCACUGUUUGGACUAGGGGCCCCCAUCGGGUUACCGAAUUCAGACAAACUCCGAAUGCCAAAUACUUAUUCUUGGGAGUCAGACUACGAGUGAUAAGAUCCGUGGUCAAGAGGGAAACAGCCCAGACCACCAGCUAAGGUCCCAAAGUAUACGUUAAGUGGAAAAGGAUGUGGAGUUGCUUAGACAACCAGGAUGUUGGCUUAGAAGCAGCCACCAUUUAAAGAGUGCGUAAUAGCUCACUGGUCGAGUGACUCUGCGCCGAAAAUGUACCGGGGCUAAACGUAUCACCGAAGCUGUGGAUUGACAUCUAUGAUGUCAGUGGUAGGAGAGCGUUCUAAGGGCGUUGAAGCUAGACCGUAAGGACUGGUGGAGCGCUUAGAAGUGAGAAUGCCGGUAUGAGUAGCGAAAGAUGAGUGAGAAUCUCAUCCACCGAAUGCCUAAGGUUUCCUGAGGAAGGCUCGUCCGCUCAGGGUUAGUCGGGACCUAAGCCGAGGCUGAAAAGCGUAGGCGAUGGACAACAGGUUGAUAUUCCUGUACCACCUUUAAAUCAUUGUUGNNNNNNNNNNNNNNNNNNNNNNNNNNNNNNNNNNNNNNNNNNNNNNNNNNNNNNNNNNNNNNNNNNNNNNNNNNNNNNNNNNNNNNNNNGACAUUUGAGCAAUGGGGGGACGCAGGAGGAUAGGGUAAGCGUGCUGUUGGAUUAGCACGUCCAAGCAGUUAGGCCGGUAAUGAGGCAAAUCCCAUUACCAUACGGCGGAGCUGUGACGGCGAGGGAAAUAUAGUACCGAAGUUCCUGAUUCCACACUGCCAAGAAAAGCCUCUAGCGAGAUUUAUGGUGCCCGUACCGCAAACCGACACAGGUAGGCGAGGAGAGAAUCCUAAGGUGAGCGAGAGAACUCUCGUUAAGGAACUCGGCAAAAUGACCCCGUAACUUCGGGAGAAGGGGUGCUCUUUUGGGUGUUAAAGCCCGAGAGAGCCGCAGUGAAUAGGCCCAGGCGACUGUUUAGCAAAAACACAGGUCUCUGCGAAGCCGCAAGGCGAAGUAUAGGGGCUGACACCUGCCCGGUGCUGGAAGGUUAAGAGGAGGGGUUAGUCGUAAGACGAAGCUCUGAAUUGAAGCCCCAGUAAACGGCGGCCGUAACUAUAACGGUCCUAAGGUAGCGAAAUUCCUUGUCGGGUAAGUUCCGACCCGCACGAAAGGUGUAACGAUCUGGGCACUGUCUCAACGAGAGACUCGGUGAAAUUAUAGUACCUGUGAAGAUGCAGGUUACCCGCGACAGGACGGAAAGACCCCGUGGAGCUUUACUGCAGCCUGAUAUUGAAUUUUGGUACAGCUUGUACAGGAUAGGUAGGAGCCUUGGAAGCCGGAGCGCCAGCUUCGGUGGAGGCAUUGGUGGGAUACUACCCUGGCUGUAUUGACAUUCUAACCCGCACCCCUGAUCGGGGUGGGAGACAGUGUCAGGUGGGCAGUUUGACUGGGGCGGUCGCCUCCUAAAAAGUAACGGAGGCGCCCAAAGGUUCCCUCAGAAUGGUUGGAAAUCAUUCGUAGAGUGUAAAGGCACAAGGGAGCUUGACUGCGAGACCUACAAGUCGAGCAGGGACGAAAGUCGGGCUUAGUGAUCCGGUGGUUCCGCAUGGAAGGGCCAUCGCUCAACGGAUAAAAGCUACCCCGGGGAUAACAGGCUUAUCUCCCCCAAGAGUCCACAUCGACGGGGAGGUUUGGCACCUCGAUGUCGGCUCAUCGCAUCCUGGGGCUGUAGUCGGUCCCAAGGGUUGGGCUGUUCGCCCAUUAAAGCGGUACGCGAGCUGGGUUCAGAACGUCGUGAGACAGUUCGGUCCCUAUCCGUCGUGGGCGUAGGAAAUUUGAGAGGAGCUGUCCUUAGUACGAGAGGACCGGGAUGGACGCACCGCUGGUGUACCAGUUGUCUUGCCAAAGGCAUCGCUGGGUAGCUAUGUGCGGAAGGGAUAAGUGCUGAAAGCAUCUAAGCAUGAAGCCCCCCUCAAGAUGAGAUUUCCCAUAGCGUAAGCUAGUAAGAUCCCUGAAAGAUGAUCAGGUUGAUAGGUCAGAG
rnacentral:rRNA from 1 species